rnacentral:rRNA from 1 species
GUUACAGCAGCCGCGGUAAAACGUAGGACGCAAGCGUUAUCCGGAGUUACUGGGCGUAAAGAGCAAGUAGGCGGUUUUGUAAGUUGUCUAUGAAAACGACUGGCUAAACUGGUCGGUGCUAGAUGAGACUGCGAGACUAGGGUCUGACAGAGAAGCUUGGAAUUCCUGGUGUAGUGGUGAAAUGCGUAGAGAUCCGGAGGAACACCAGAGGCGAAGGCGAUGCUUUAGGUCAGUACCGACGCUCAGAUGCGAAAGCAUGGGUAGCGAACGGGAUUAGAUACCCGCGUAGUCC